rnacentral:rRNA from 1 species
GACGAACGCUGGCGGCGUGCUUAACACAUGCAAGUCGAGCGGUAAGGCCCUUUCGGGGGUACGACGAGCGGCGAACGGGUGAGUAACACGUGGGUGACCUGCCCUCAGCUCUGGGAUAAGCCCUGGGAAACUGGGUCUAAUACUGGAUAUGACUCCACGGUGCAUGUCGUGGGGUGGAAAGCCUUGUGCGGCUGAGGAUGGGCCCGCGGCCUAUCAGCUUGUUGGUGGGGUGAUGGCCUACCAAGGCGACGACGGGUAGCCGGCCUGACGAGGGCGACCGGCCACACUGGGACUGAGA